CCUACGGGUGGCUGCAGUGGGGAAUAUUGGACAAUGGGCGAAAGCCUGAUCCAGCCAUGCCGCGUGUGUGAAGAAGGCCUUCGGGUUGUAAAGCACUUUCAGUGGGGAAGAAAGCCUUGGGGCUAAUACCCUCGAGGAAGGACAUCACCCACAGAAGAAGCACCGGCUAACUCCGUGCCAGCAGCCGCGGUAAUACGGAGGGUGCGAGCGUUAAUCGGAAUUACUGGGCGUAAAGCGCGCGUAGGCGGUCUGAUAAGCCGGUUGUGAAAGCCCCGGGCUCAACCUGGGAACGGCAUCCGGAACUGGCAGGCUAGGGUGCAGGAGAGGAAGGUAGAAUUCCCGGUGUAGCGGUGAAAUGCGUAGAGAUCGGGAGGAAUACCAGUGGCGAAGGCGGCCUUCUGGACUGACACUGACGCUGAGGUGCGAAAGCGUGGGUAGCAAACAGGAUUAGAUACCCCAGUAGUC
rnacentral:rRNA from 1 species